CAGGGCAAAGCCAAGAAGUGAUUUUCCCCCCUCCCUGCCACGGGAACUGUGACCUAAUUCUCAUUCCUAAUCACAGAAUCAAAGGAGAAAUUUAUUUCAAUGAGCUAGUCUGAAAGAGCUAUUUGCCAAAUGGCUUUCUUUCCAAUACUUAAUGAAAAGAUGCAUUUUGUACUACUUUCAAAAAGUGAUAUGGACAGGAGACGGAAAUACUGGGUAGAAAAGGGCAGUUCCCUGGCAAAGCCUCACCCUCAAGCCUGGAUACCUGCUGUCUUAAACGAAAACGAAAACAGGCAUUUCUGUGUUCAUGCUCCAAAAGUUAUCUUUUGGCCUGCCACACCCCCUAUCCUGCACCCAUAUGAAUCCCGAACCCCAGACUCCAGAAGCAGACCAGCAAGCCCGCAGACCAGCAGAAGGAUGGCAGAACGAUGUGGCAGAGAAAGGGAGAAGAGGAGGAACAUCUGAAUGCCAAAAUGAGUUCAGCUGGGGGCAGUCAGAGAGGAGUCCAGCCACUGGGCAGCCAGAAUCCAGGGGAGGAUCACCUUUCCACUUCAUCCCCUUCCUCUGCCUCCCCAUCCAUCCUGCUGAAAGCCACCUCCACCACUCAAUAAAAC
rnacentral:lncRNA from 1 species